GGAGGCGGAGGUUGCAGUGAGCCGAGACUGCGCCAUUGUACUCCAGCCUGGGCUGUAAGAGUGAAACUCUGUCUCAAAAAAAAAAAAAAAAAAGAAAAAGAAAAAGAAUGAAAUUAAAUUUAUUUAUUUAUUUAUUUUUGAGGUAGAGUUUCACUCUUGUUGCCUAGGCUGAAGUGCAAUGGCAUGAUCUCGGCUCACUGCAACUUCUGCCUCC
rnacentral:pre_miRNA from 1 species